AACAGCCAGAGGUGGAAGGGCUCAUAUAAAAAGAGAAAAGGUGAUAAUGGAAGUGUCUGCAUGUUCUACCAGCCAAAGCUCUGACAUAAAAAUAUGCAUCACAAAGAAAACAGGACAGAAGGGAGAGAACGGAGAAGAAAGCCAGUUCUUUGCUACUCCUGGGAAACAAAAGGGAUGUCUGCAGCUUCCUGCAGCAGAGUGCAAGCUUCAUCUGCAUGCUGCUGCUGCUGCUGCUCCUCUGCUUUUGUUGCACGUACAGUUUGCC
ensembl:lncRNA